GGUUAAGCGACUAAGCGUACACGGUGGAUGCCCUGGCAGUCAGAGGCGAUGAAGGACGUGCUAAUCUGCGAAAAGCGUCGGUAAGGUGAUAUGAACCGUUACAGCCGGCGAUGUCCGAAUGGGGAAACCCAGUGCAAUUCGUUGCACUAUCGUUAACUGAAUACAUAGGUUAACGAGGCGAACCGGGGGAACUGAAACAUCUAAGUACCCCGAGGAAAAGAAAUCAACCGAGAUUCCCCCAGUAGCGGCGAGCGAACGGGGAGCAGCCCGGAGUCUGAAUCAGCUUGUGUGUUAGUGGAAGCGUCUGGAAAGUCGCAGGGUACAGGGUGAUACUCCCGUACACUAAAACACACAGGUUGUGAACUCGAAGAGUAGGGCGGGACACGUGGUAUCCUGUCUGAAUAUGGGGGGACCAUCCUCCAAGGCUAAAUACUCCUGACUGACCGAUAGUGAACCAGUACCGUGAGGGAAAGGCGAAAAGAACCCCGGCGAGGGGAGUGAAAAAGAACCUGAAACCGUGUACGUACAAGCAGUAGGAGCCCACUGGUUGGGUGACUGCGUACCUUUUGUAUAAUGGGUCAGCGACUUAUAUUCUGUAGCAAGGUUAACCGUAUAGGGGAGCC
rnacentral:rRNA from 1 species